rnacentral:rRNA from 1 species
CCUACGGGAGGCAGCAGUAGGGAAUAUUGGUCAAUGGACGCAAGUCUGAACCAGCCAUGCCGCGUGCAGGAAGACGGCCUUCUGGGUUGUAAACUGCUUUUCUCAGGGAAGAAAAACGCUCUUGCGAGAGCACUUGCCGGUACCUGAGGAAUAAGCACCGGCUAACUCCGUGCCAGCAGCCGCGGUAAU